rnacentral:lncRNA from 1 species
GAGCUAGAAGAAAAAGAAGAGGAACUAGAAGAAGAUGAUGAUAUUAAUGAUGAACAAGAACUAGAAGAAGAAGAAGAUGAUGAUGACGAAGAAGAAGAAGAAGAAGAAGAAGAAAAAGAAGAAGAAGAAGAUAAUGAUGAUGAUGAUGAUGAUGGUGAUGAUGAUGAUGAUGAUGAUGAAGAAAAAGAAGAAGAAGAUAAUGAUGAUGAUGAUGAUGAUGAUGAUGAUGAUAAUGAAGAAGAAAUAGAGGUUUUGUGCAAGGUCAUAUGCCCUAGAUCUCAUCCAGAUCACCCUCACACCCUCUCUUUCCGAACCGGUAAAGCCAUUACCUGCUAUUCUUGCGGGAACCAAUCCGGCGUGUAUUACUACUGCACCAC